UUUGGCAAAAGAAUUCAAUGACACAGUACAUUAUUAAUAAGAAGUGAAUUUUAAAUAUACAUCAUAUAAUAUCAUGAUAGUAUACAAAUUAAAGAAAAUCAAAUACCAAUAUAAAUGUCUCAAACUAAAAAUGUACCAAAAUAAAUAAAUAAAUGUCGAUUGCUCUAGUCUCUUGAUAAGAAAGUGGAUGCAGAUUAAUACUGCAUGACUACAAACGUGAGAGAUAAGAGUUAACAGGGAAAUAAGAAACUACAAUUGGAGCUCUCUUUGAUUUUUCUUUGCUCUUUUGUUUCUCUAAAGAUGAAGAUUUCAAUUUAGAUGAUUUUUCAUCAUAAUCAGAAACUUGAGAUGAUGAUCUAAAGAAUGGCCAAAGCAACUUAAGAAGGAUGAAAUCAAAGCCAUAAAAAAAGUGAUUUAAUUUGCACUUUGAAGUGGGUUUCUUGUUUAUGUAAGUGUGGAAAGCUGA
rnacentral:lncRNA from 1 species